ACAGUGGACGCGAGCAUCUGUGGCCAAGUUUUUAAGGGCGCACGGUGGAUGCCUUGGCACCAGGAACCGAUGAAGGACGUGGGAGGCCACGAUAGUCCCCGGGGAGUCGUCAACCAGGCUUUGAUCCGGGGGUUUCCGAAUGGGGAAACCCGGCAGUCGUCAUGGGCUGUCACCCGCUGCUGAACACAUAGGCAGUGUGGAGGGAACGCGGGGAAGUGAAACAUCUCAGUACCCGCAGGAAGAGAAAACAACCGUGAUUCCGGGAGUAGUGGCGAGCGAAACCGGAUGAGGCCAAACCGUAUGCGUGUGAGACCCGGCAGGGGUUGCGCAUGCGGGGUUGUGGGAUCUCUCUUCUGUCGUCUGCCGGCGACAGGACGAGUCAGAAACCGUUGAUGUAGGCGAAGGACAUGCGAAAGGUCCGGCGUAGAGGGUAAGACCCCCGUAGUCGAAACGUCAGCGGCUCGUUUGAGAGACACCCAAGUAGCACGGGGCCCGAGAAAUCCCGUGUGAAUCUGGCGGGACCACCCGCUAAGCCUAAAUAUUCCCUGGUGACCGAUAGCGGAUAGUACCGUGAGGGAAUGGUGAAAAGUACCGCGGGAGCGGAGUGAAAUAGUACCUGAAACCGUGUGCCUACAAGCCGUGGGAGCGUCGG
rnacentral:rRNA from 1 species